rnacentral:rRNA from 1 species
UACGAAGGGAGCUAGCGUUGUUCGGAAUUACUGGGCGUAAAGCGCACGUAGGCGGAUUUGUAAGUCAGGGGUGAAAUCCCGAGGCUCAACCUCGGAACUGCCCUUUGAUACUGCAAAUCUCGAGUCCGGAAGAGGUGAGUGGAAUUCCUAGUGUAGAGGUGAAAUUCGUAGAUAUUAGGAAGAACACCAGUGGCGAAGGCGGCUCACUGGUCCGGUACUGACGCUGAGGUGCGAAAGCGUGGGGAGCAAACAGGG